rnacentral:lncRNA from 1 species
AGGCUCCAUCAUCAUUUUAUAGUGUGUUUGAGGGAAUAAGAUGGAAUAAGUGCUUAUUCCAUCUUAUUCCUAGCAACCAAACACUACCUAAAAAAUUUUGAAACUUUAUUCUUUUACUGGACUGUAAGGGGGCAAAACUAGCAUAGUGGUCUACAAAUAAUCUUAACUUAAUGAGUUCAUAAAUGGUUGAAAACUUCCCAAG